rnacentral:tRNA from 3 species
GCCGGGGUGGCUUAGUUGGUAGAGCGUCGGACUCAUAAUCCGAAGGUCGCGGGUUCAAGUCCCGCUCCCGGCACCA